rnacentral:rRNA from 1 species
UGCAGUCGAGCGGGCCUUUCGGGGUCAGCGGCGGACGGGUGAGUAACGCGUGGGAACGUGCCCUCUGGUUCGGAAUAACUCAGGGAAACUUGAGCUAAUACCGGAUACGCCCUUUUGGGGAAAGGCUUGCUGCCGGAGGAUCGGCCCGCGUCUGAUUAGCUAGUUGGUGAGGUAACGGCUCACCAAGGCGACGAUCAGUAGCUGGUCUGAGAGGAUGAUCAGCCACACUGGGACUGAGACACGGCCCAGACUCCUACGGGAGGCAGCAGUGGGGAAUAUUGGACAAUGGGCGCAAGCCUGAUCCAGCCAUGCCGCGUGAGUGAUGAAGGCCUUAGGGUUGUAAAGCUCUUUUAUCCGGGACGAUAAUGACGGUACCGGAGGAAUAAGCCCCGGCUAACUUCGUGCCAGCAGCCGCGGUAAUACGAAGGGGGCUAGCGUUGCUCGGAAUCACUGGGCGUAAAGGGCGCGUAGGCGGCGUUUUAAGUCGGGGGUGAAAGCCUGUGGCUCAACCACAGAAUGGCCUUCGAUACUGGGACGCUUGAGUAUGGUAGAGGUUGGUGGAACUGCGAGUGUAGAGGUGAAAUUCGUAGAUAUUCGCAAGAACACCGGUGGCGAAGGCGGCCAACUGGA